rnacentral:lncRNA from 1 species
ACGGAAGGCAGGCGGCAAGCGCGGCGGGAGACCUGCUGAGGGAAAAGAGCGGCCGGCGCGCGAGUCAGAGAGGAAGCUGAGAGAACGUCAACCUCCCAUCCCGCCCUCAGGUCCACGCAACGACGUAAUGCCGAGAUGUGAGACGAGAAAAUUGGAAGAAUACCCACAGUGCCAUUUCCUCCUACCAGUUCCCCUCUACCAAUGGGACCCAGGAGUAGAAAUUUUAAUCAACAGUGAAGUAAGAAGAGAACUGUUACAUCGUGAUUCAGAAGCCGAAGUUCGAAGCUUAUAGACGAGAAGGAAGUACCACGCCGCGCUAGUUCAUAAAUGGCAGGGACGGAGGAAGGACGGCGUGAGCAUUGUUCUUCUCUUCUGUGAUCCUACUGCAUCAUUUAUGUGACGUGGCUGAGGUGACGCUUAAGAUGUAGAAAUUAUUGGCUGAGGAAGUUGACGAUGUAUAGGUGAUGAAACGGGAGAGGACAUCUAAGAAAAUUGAUUUAACAUCGAUGCCUUCUGUUUCAAGCGCAUGUUUCACCCGGCCGUGUGAAUCUGCAGCGACAUCUUCGAUAGAUACUGCAAUCCCGCCGAAGAGCUGCACAAUCCACGCCAUCUUCAUCUGCUGCUGUAACGAAGGGAUGCUGUAAAAUGAAAAGGAAAUUAAUGAAACAAUUAUCUUCCUCA